rfam:Opisthocomus hoazin contig72628, whole genome shotgun sequence.
UGUAUUUGAUCCAUUAUUAAAGACUCCAAAAACAAGCAUGUUUUCAAAUGGCACUCUGCACAGUCAGUGACAUAUCUGUACUUGAUUCCACUAUUCUUCACAAAAUGUGAUAAUAAUGUUUUCUGUUAACAUAAAAACAAGGUUUGACUCCACAGAAGCGGCUGGAAAUGGGUAACCACAAUAUACUUAAAUGUCUUAGGAACACACUGUUUGACAUACAGUGCUAAAAGUUCCUCAUAUUUAGGAAUUCUUUUAAGCGAAAUACUUGUGCUGAGUCUCAGCUGGUGUGCGUGAAGGAAUAUUCAUUUCCCAGUGGUGAC